GACAGGGGAUGCAAGCGUUAUCCGGAAUUAUUGGGCGUAAAGCGUCUGUAGGUGGCUUAAAAAGUCUCCUGUCAAAGAUCAGGGCUUAACCCUGGGCCGGCAGGAGAAACUCUUAGGCUAGAGUUUGGUAGGGGCAGAGGGAAUUCCCGGUGGAGCGGUGAAAUGCGUAGAGAUCGGGAGGAACACCAAAGGCGAAAGCACUCUGCUGGGCCACAACUGACACUGAGAGACGAAAGCUAGGGGAGCGAAUGGG
rnacentral:rRNA from 1 species